AACGAACGCUGGCGGCAUGCCUAACACAUGCAAGUCGAACGAGACCUUCGGGUCUAGUGGCGCACGGGUGCGUAACGCGUGGGAACCUGCCCUUAGGUUCGGAAUAACUCCCCGAAAGGGGUGCUAAUACCGGAUAAUGUCUUCGGACCAAAGAUUUAUCGCCUUUGGAUGGGCCCGCGUUGGAUUAGCUAGUUGGUAGGGUAAAAGCCUACCAAGGCGACGAUCCAUAGCUGGUCUGAGAGGAUGAUCAGCCACACUGGGACUGAGACACGGCCCAGACUCCUACGGGAGGGAGCAGUGGGGAAUAUUGGACAAGGGGCGAAGACGUGAUCCAGCAAUGCCGCGUGAGUGAUGAAGGCCUUAGGGUUGUAAAGCUCUUUUACCCGGGAUGAUAAUGACAGUACCGGGAGAAUAAGCUCCGGCUAACUCCGUG
rnacentral:rRNA from 1 species